UUUCCUACAAAUUAUUCCAGCAGUGACUUGGACAACCUCUGCAGAUAGAAGCGAUCUCCAAAAUCCACUGCUGCUUCUCCUGGAAUAGAGCUGUUUCUGGACUUCUCACACUACUGCGAAACUAGACAGUGACAACAGUUGCAUGACUUCAUCGGCUCUGCUGCAUUUGAUCGAUUAAGGCAAAAAAAUUAUCCUUCCUGGUGGUGCUAGACUGAAGUUCAUUCACUGUUCUCUGCACAGCUGCUGAAAUCGCUGCUCUACAGGUGUCUGCCUUUGCAUAAAGUGACAUAGAAGUAUCAUUGGUCAAGGCAAUGGCUUUCAGUGUUUCUGCUUUGAAAGAAAAUGAUGGAAGUGGCAGCUGGAUCUACAGAUCAUCGCUCUCUACCAAGCCAGAUGGCAUUGUCAGAUGGACUGGAUUUGCUUCAGGCUGGAAAGCUGCUUUGAUGUCUAGUCCUUGGUCACAAAGUGCAGCAUACCGACUGGCUGAGGGCCGCACCUUCUUUGGCUUGGUUGUUUGAGGUGGUUGUUGCCACUGAGCUAUAGAUUAGAAAGGAAAGAAAAUACGUUAGCCAUCUCAUGCUGUGCAACAAAGCAUGCCAGAUGCACAGGCAACCCUUUGUAAAGGAGAGGCAAAUUUCUGAGCAGAAGAAAACCAUUAUAUCAAAGUCCAUUCUGCACAGCUUUCCUUCUUGAACAGUCAGGUCUCCAGGAGCCUGCAGAAAAUGAGGCCGGAAGAAUCGUUCCUGAAUUGGUUCAUUUUCAUCACCACUGUCCCUUGAUCGAGAUCGUGGUCUUAAAAUAACAUGAAAUAAAGCUUGAAUGGUUUCCAUGCUGGACUGAACUACCUGUAGUAACAUCCUGCUGUAGUGAAGACAAGCUAUUCAAACAUCCUCCAAGGAUAAUUUAUUUGAAGCUCUGGCUGCAGUGCACUGCAAGACACCUUAGUGUCUUAAUGCUACAAUGUUGAGCAUCACAAGUUCCAAGGGAUUGAGACUAAGCUUUACACAGGAUCCUGGAAACAACUGCCCUCACUACUACUGUCCAAUUAUCUGCAUACAGCAGUCCUACAGCACAUACAGGUACUGCUACUUGCUACAAGUUGUUGCACACUGUCUGUGUAAUCACAGCGAUUCUGUAUGUUCCAGCUGGAACCUACUGAGACUCUGGCCGUUGUGACUGCAAAGCAGAACAGGUGCCUCAUCACAGUCAGAUCCAGACCUAGAGUGCUCAUACUGCCUGCCUUGAAGGCUCUUCUGUUUGGGUGUUGCUCAGUUCACACAUUCUGGAAUAAUUUCUGCAUAUCUCAAUACAUGAAGGCAUCACAAAUGGAAACACAAAAGGACAGUGAAGAAUCUGGACAGCUACGAGCAAGCAAGAAGCCAAAGCUUUGCAAUAGUCAUGGGAUGAAUGAGAAGGAAGCAAUGAGUGGGAAGUAAGAAAUGAGAAAAUGUCCUAUUAGAAAUUAAGGGAAUUCCAGUCUGAGGACUGUGAGUGCAUAGUGCAGAAACAUGGAGAGAAUGGGAUAAAAAGGAAAAGAAGUUGAAAAUAAGGACUUGACUUCAAGCCCAUGCCACUAGCUCAUGGAAAGACCUCAGUUAAGGGAGGUAACCUGUAACUAAAGACCUAAAACAGGCUAUGUUUUGUGUUUGUCUAGGCCCAGGAUCAGUUUGCUCUGGAUUAAGUUAUAUGGCAAGUUUUACUGCAACCCCCAGAGGUGUGUUAGAGCCUUAAUUCCAGAUUGCUGUGCUUGACAUCACAGGCAGUGGUGCCUGUGCUGUUAACAACCACGGAUGAUUUCCAAGGUGUGUCAACACCUCAUUUUACUUACAUAUAUCCUGUGAUAUUAGUCCAGAUCGUGAGAUGGCAUUAGCUGGCAAAGCUUUAAUAGACUUCGCUUUACUGAAAUCAGUUUCUAUCAGCUGAGAAUAAGUCUUUUUGCUCUGUAGUUUGGUGGUUCCAAUAGCAAUGGACAAAACACAGCAACAGCCUAUUAAAUAUCUACCAGUCCAUCAAAGUCCUGAUGUAGGCUCCCUUCUAUUUAGGUAUUUUGCUUUUCUUAAGGAAAGGUUGCCAAAUUUGCCUGAGUUUGCGAUAGCUUUGAGAUGUGGACAACUUUCCAUUAGAACUAAGAAAGCUAUGCCAAAAUUAUUUCCACUCAGGAUGACUUAUAAGAAUUGGAAUCCAGAUAUUUGAGUGUGAAAGGCCAGUAGAUUAACUCCUAGGCUUUCUUUGCCUCCAUUGUACUGUUAAAUGCAUAGUAAAACCUAGCAAACAGUGGAAGAGAUAAGUAUGUUUGCUUGGCAAUUACACUGUGAGGGAGAACAGAAUGGGCUUGCUGAAACAGAUGUUUUGUUUAGGGGAGCCAGAGAAAGAUGCUUCUGGCUCUUUUCCAAAGAGGGGAAGAAAGUUACAGAUGCAGAAUUUUAUCAUUUAACAAAACCAGUUUUUCAAUCCCCAAGUUAGCAAUAACUAAAAUACAAAACCAACUCAUUUAGUCCAUCUGAAAAUCCACUAUCAAUCUGUCCACUGCAUGUUGUUGAAUGCACUGUGUACUCUAUGCAACAACAAAACACUUAGAGGAAGAUGAGCAGGAAGCACUUCCUUCUUUGAGCAUGUAGAUAUCUAUUUAUCAUUUUAUCAUUUUAAAAGCUGCUGUGAGUUUCCACAAUUUAAAUCAAACCAAGUGUUAUAAUACAAUAGUCAUCUAUGUGUAAAAGCUCCCAGCUUGAAGAAUUCCCUUGGCCUUAUUUCUUUCUUUUAUUUGCAUGUGUAGAAAUAAUCUUUAAACUACCUAAACGCUCCAGUUUGUUGAGUCUAGCCCCAAACUCCUGCAUCUGUGUGUACAAUCCCACAUAUUCACAAGCACACUGCAAUAUGAGCAGGAUUGACAGUUAAAGAGCAAGGCAAAAAUGGCAGUGUCAUGCUAGGUAACCUAGCAACAUCCAUAACAGAGCACAACACUCCUGUUUAGAUUAAACUGUCUCAGUGAUACAGUUUGUUCUUUUACAGUGAGAUUCUACUUGCAGACCUGGUCUUGGCAAAAUAUUUAGUUCUACAGAAGAAAAUAAUUUCAUUACAUCCCUGUGUUACUGCCUUGGUUUCUCGUGGGCAAACCUUUCUCCUCAGUUUACCGUGCUGCAGGAAAAAUGGGUUGAAAAAGUUACUUCCAUAGCAUGUGUAAGCUGCAAGUUCAGCUAUGUCCAAUGCACAAAGUGGGUUUCUGCUGUAUACCUCAGCUCUUGUAACGGGUUUGUGAAGAACAUAAUAUUACAAACCUAGCAACACCCUGUGUUUCAGAAAAAAUUAUCAGCAAGCCUCCAAGACAACACAGAACUCCUUCCGGCUACAUAAUAAGUGUGAGAAUUUUUUGCCUUGCAGAAUUACAACUGCUGCCUAAUGUAAACAUGUUGAGGAGCGAUGUACUCCCAGUGAUUGCAAAACGUUGGCCUCAGUCAGUGAGCAGUGUUAACAGAAGAAAAAUGAAAUUACUGGAUUGGGUUAUUCCUGCCCACAAACUGCAUUUUUUUUCCUUUAUAGUAUGUGUGCUAUCCACGCUCAGUUAGGAUACCAAGAUGCUAUCAGCUGAAACAAACGGUGGAAGAAUGCUUUAAAAACAACACCCCCUCCUCUCUGAAACUUCAAACCAUAGGAAAAAAAAUGCUGCUGAGUUGCUAAUCUCGUGGAGAUAGAAAGGUCCCACCCUACUGAUGCAAGUUGAAAACAGAAAUCUAAUUUAAAUACUUUAUGAUGACUUCAUCACUUAAUUAAAUCAUGAAAACGUAAGAUGAGAUAGUUUUCUGAAGAUUUAUGUCCAGAAGCAUGUUUGCUCUGGAGCCAAACCUUCAUUUACCUGUGGGUUAGCAGCCAUAAUAGUGUAGUUCCCAUCAUCAUCCAGGGUGGAGGCUGGAGUAUGCAACAAGCAAGUUCCAUCAGGUUCUCUUUGCAUUCGGUAGUGAUCACUUCGUUUAGAAAUUUGCUUCCCAUCUUUAAACCAGUAAAUCUGCAGGAAAUAGAGGAGGCAUGAGUCACUGUCAUCAUUUAUCAAUUAAUAGUGCUAAUGAACCUUACCUGCUGCAAACUUUGAGUAAGCAUUAUAACUAAUUUGAUCAACUAGUGAAAGUGCAGAACCCCAUUCCACAAACCACUAAGCCAAGUUACAGAUCAGCAGUUGUUUACAGAGGAAGGAUGGCAGCAUGACCAUUUACCAAAGGAACUUACACAAGCACAAAAGCUGUGCUCUUCCCAAGGACAGAACAGCAGAUGAAUGUACCAAGAACUGAAAAUAAAUGGAACUAUGAGGAAAAGUUCUGUUUCA